rnacentral:rRNA from 1 species
AGAGUUUGAUCAUGGCUCAGGAUGAACGCUAGCGACAGGCCUAACACAUGCAAGUCGAGGGGCAGCAUAAAAAGUAGCAAUACUUUUGGUGGCGACCGGCGCACGGGUGAGUAACACGUAUGCAACCUACCUGUAAUAGGGGAAUAACCCGGCGAAAGUCGGACUAAUACCGCAUAAUACUGAGAAUUCGCAUGAAUUUUCAUUUAAAUAUUUAUAGAUUACAGAUGGGCAUGCGCAUGAUUAGAUAGUUGGUGAGGUAACGGCUCACCAAGUCAACGAUCAUUAGGGGUUCUGAGAGGAAGGUCCCCCACAUUGGAACUGAGACACGGUCCAAACUCCUACGGGAGGCAGCAGUGAGGAAUAUUGGUCAAUGGGCGAGAGCCUGAACCAGCCAAGUCGCGUGAAGGAAGAAUGUCCUAUGGAUUGUAAACUUCUUUUGUAAGGGAAUAAAGUUCACCACGUGUGGUGUUUUGUAUGUACUUUACGAAUAAGGAUCGGCUAACUCCGUGCCAGCAGCCGCGGUAAUACGGAGGAUCCAAGCGUUAUCCGGAUUUAUUGGGUUUAAAGGGUGCGUAGGCGGGUUGAUAAGUCAGUGGUGAAAGUUUGCAGCUUAACUGUAAAAUUGCCGUUGAAACUGUCAAUCUUGAGUGCAAGUGAGGUAAGCGGAAUGUGUUGUGUAGCGGUGAAAUGCUUAGAUAUAACACAGAACACCGAUUGCGAAGGCAGCUUACUAAUAUGUAACUGACGCUGAGGCACGAAAGCGUGGGGAUCAAACAGGAUUAGAUACCCUGGUAGUCCACGCAGUAAACGAUGAAUACUAGUUGUUUGCGAUAUACAGUAAGUAACACAGCGAAAGCGUUAAGUAUUCCACCUGGGGAGUACGUUCGCAAGAAUGAAACUCAAAUGAAUUGACGG